CAGUCGCCGCGGUAAUACGUAGGGUGCAAGCGUUAAUCGGAAUUACUGGGCGUAAAGCGUGCGUAGGCGGUUUGUUAAGUCUGUUGUGAAAUCCCCGGGCUCAACCUGGGAAUGGCAAUGGAUACUGGCAAGCUAGAGUGUGUCAGAGGAUGGUGGAAUUCCCGGUGUAGCGGUGAAAUGCGUAGAGAUCGGGAGGAACAUCAGUGGCGAAGGCGGCCAUCUGGGACAACACUGACGCUGAGGCACGAAAGCGUGGGGGGCAAACAGGAUUAGAUACCCCGGUAGUCCCUGUCUCUUAUAC
rnacentral:rRNA from 1 species